GACUCGAUUAGUAAAUUUUAUAAAGAUUUAGUACUUAAUUAGCAAAAUUAAAAGGUUUACGAUUGAAUUUAAAUGAUUCAGGAUUUUUUGGAUAAUUUUUUCUACAUCGCAUAAUAAAUCACAAGGUGAGUGGUCCCAAGACUAAGAGAAUACACAAAAGUGAUGAUUCGGUCCAAGGCCAAGCAAGGAGGGAAUGGACAAGCUGAACGUUGGGGCAAUCCCUUUAGAUUUUCAUAACCAAUUUUAAUAUUGCAAUGUUAAAUUAAAAAAAAAGAAAAAAUAUUAUGUUUGGUAAAGGUAAGCAUAAAUUAAGUCGAAUUAGCAAAGAAAAAGGAAAUAAGUUGGAUGAGGAUAAGAAUGAACAAAUUGUCAAAAAAAGGGUCGUUUUUUUCGUCUUUCGUUGGAGAAUACUUCACCCAAUAAGUUUUCUGAUUAAUGAGUUACAAAUAUUGACAGGACACAUAUUUACUUUCAGUUAAGUUGACACGUGAGUGAUGUUCGUAAAUAGUAAACCCCUACUAGAGACGUGUAUAGAGAGGUUUUUUAAACCUGAAAAUGGAGGAACAAAUAUAAAGAAGGAUCCAACAUUUCUUUGACUAUAACAAAGUAUUGACCUAGAUAUGAAUGCUUCUCUUGAUUUGGGUUCGUGGCUAAAAAUAAUGGUCGGAGAAGACCGAAAAACCUAUACAUGCAAU
rnacentral:lncRNA from 1 species